rnacentral:tRNA from 1 species
GCCAGGGUGGCUCAGUCGGGUUGAGCGUCUGACUUCGGCUCAGGUCAUGAUCUCACGGUUCGUGAGUUCGAGCCCCGCGUCGGGCU